rnacentral:rRNA from 1 species
GAUGAACGCUGGCGGCGUGCUUAACACAUGCAAGUCGAACGGAAAGGCCCAAGCUUGCUUGGGUACUCGAGUGGCGAACGGGUGAGUAACACGUGGGUGAUCUGCCCUGCACUUCGGGAUAAGCCUGGGAAACUGGGUCUAAUACCGGAUAGGACCACUUCUUGGAUGUUGUGGUGGAAAGGUUUUCGGUGUGGGAUGAGCUCGCGGCCUAUCAGCUUGUUGGUGGGGUAAUGGCCUACCAAGGCGUCGACGGGUAGCCGGCCUGAGAGGGUGUACGGCCACAUUGGGACUGAGAUACGGCCCAGACUCCUACGGGAGGCAGCAGUGGGGAAUAUUGCACAAUGGGCGCAAGCCUGAUGCAGCGACGCCGCGUGGGGGAUGACGGCCUUCGGGUUGUAAACUCCUUUCGCUAGGGACGAAGCUUAUUUUGUGACGGUACCUGGAGAAGAAGCACCGGCUAACUACGUG